UUGUUGCAGUUAAAAAGCUCGUAGUUGGAUUUCUGUGAGAGUAUGAUGUCCUAACGUGUUUAGAGCGCAGAAAACUCUUGCAUCCUUCUGUUACCUCCACGUGGCAUUCGCUUGCCAGUGGUUGGCUCAGAGAAUUUACCUUGAGAAAAUUAGAGUGUUUCAGGCAGGCUUAGUCGGAAUACAUUAGCAUGGAAUAAUAGAAUAGGACUCCGGUCUAGUUGCUGGUUUGAGGGACUGUAGUAAUGAUUAAUAGGGAUAGUUGGGGGCAUUAGUAUUCGGUUGUCAGAGGUGAAAUUCUCAGAUUUAUUGAAGACUAACUUAUGCGAAAGCAUUUGCCAAGGAUGUUUUCAUUAAUCAAGAACGGAAGUUAGGGGAUCAAAGACGAUCAGAUACCGUCCUAGUCUUAACCCAUAAACUAUGCCGACUCG
rnacentral:rRNA from 1 species